AGCGUAGGCGGAUAUUUAAGUGGGAUGUGAAAUCCCCGGGCUUAACCCGGGAGCUGCAUUCCAAACUGGAUAUCUAGAGUGCAGGAGAGGAGAGUGGAAUUCCUAGUGUAGCGGUGAAAUGCGUAGAGAUUAGGAAGAACACCAGUGGCGAAGGCGACUCUCUGGACUGUAACUGACGCUGAGGUACGAAAGCGUGGGUAGCGAACA
rnacentral:rRNA from 1 species